UACGUAGGGUGCAAGCGUUGUCCGGAAUUAUUGGGCGUAAAGAGUGUGUAGGCGGUGCUCUAAGUUCGGUGUGAAAUCUCCCGGCUUAACUGGGAGGGUGCGCCGGAAACUGGAGUGCUCGAGCGUGGGAGAGGAAAGCGGAAUUCCUGGUGUAGCGGUGAAAUGCGUAGAUAUCAGGAGGAACACCUGCGGUGUAGACGGCUUUCUGGACCAUUGCUGACGCUGAGACACGAAAGCGUGGGUAGCAAACAGG
rnacentral:rRNA from 1 species